rnacentral:rRNA from 1 species
AGGACGAACGCUGGCGGCGUGCUUAACACAUGCAAGUCGAACGAUGAACCAGGAGCUUGCUCUUGGGGAUUAGUGGCGAACGGGUGAGUAACACGUGAGUAACCUGCCCUUGACUCUGGGAUAAGCGUUGGAAACGACGUCUAAUACCGGAUACGAGCUUCCACCGCAUGGUGAGUUGCUGGAAAGAAUUUUGGUCAAGGAUGGACUCGCGGCCUAUCAGCUUGUUGGUGAGGUAAUGGCUCACCAAGGCGACGACGGGUAGCCGGCCUGAGAGGGUGACCGGCCACACUGGGACUGAGACACGGCCCAGACUCCUACGGGAGGCAGCAGUGGGGAAUAUUGCACAAUGGGCGAAAGCCUGAUGCAGCAACGCCGCGUGAGGGACGACGGCCUUCGGGUUGUAAACCUCUUUUAGCAGGGAAGAAGCGAAAGUGACGGUACCUGCAGAAAAAGCACCGGCUAACUACGUGCCAGCAGCCGCGGUAAUACGUAGGGUGCAAGCGUUGUCCGGAAUUAUUGGGCGUAAAGAGCUCGUAGGCGGUUUGUCGCGUCUGCUGUGAAAUCCCGAGGCUCAACCUCGGGUCUGCAGUGGGUACGGGCAGACUAGAGUGCGGUAGGGGAGAUUGGAAUUCCUGGUGUAGCGGUGGAAUGCGCAGAUAUCAGGAGGAACACCGAUGGCGAAGGCAGAUCUCUGGGCCGCUACUGACGCUGAGGAGCGAAAGGGUGGGGAGCAAACAGGCUUAGAUACCCUGGUAGUCCACCCCGUAAACGUUGGGCGCU